CUUCUAGAUAGCAGCUACCGAACGUUGAUGUUAGCAAGCGCUAGCUGAUACUAGCGAUUUCUAGUCUGCAACAUAUUUUGGGCUUCACCUGUAACAAAGACUUUUGUAUGUGU